rnacentral:rRNA from 1 species
UACGGAGGAUCCUAGCGUUAUCCGGAAUUAUUGGGUUUAAAGGGUCCGUAGGCGGCUUGAUAAGUCAGCGGUGAAAUUUUGCAGCUUAACUGUAACAGUGCCGUUGAUACUGGGGAGCUAGGAUUUGGUUGCUGUGGGUGGAAUGUGUGGUGUAGCGGUGAAAUGCUUAGAGAUCACACAGAAUAUCGAUUGCGAAGGCAGCUCACAAAGCCAAGAUUGACGCUGAGGCACGAAAGUGUGGGGAUCAAACAGGAUUA